UUAAGUGAAGAAGCGUGCAUGGUGGAUGCCUUGGCAAUAAGAGGCGAUGAAGGACGUACUAACCUGCGAAAAGCCGCGGUAAGCUGGUAAGAAGCGUAAAAGCCGCGGAUGUCCGAAUGGGGCAACCCGACACAGAAGUGUCAUUCCGAAAGGAAAGCGAACCGGGAGAAGUGAAACAUCUCAGUACCCCGAGGAAAAGAAAUCAACCGAGAUUCUCCAAGUAGUGGCGAACGAACGGGGAAGAGCCCAAAAUCUCUGCAUGUGCAAGCCGAAAUGUCUGGGAAGGCAUACGAAAGAGGGUGACAGUCCCGUAGGCGGAAGCGGGUGCAGGGUGAAAAACGAGUAUGGCGGGACACGUGGUAUCCUGUCAGAAGAUGGGGGGACCAUCCUCCAAGGCUAAAUACUACUUAUUGACCGAUAGUGAACAAGUACCGUGAGGGAAAGGCGAAAAGAACCCCUGUGAGGGGAGUGAAAAGAAUCUGAAACCGUGCACGUACAAGCAGUGGGAGCCCGAAAGGGUGACUGCGUACCUUUUGUAUAAUGGGUCAGCGAGUUGCUUUCAGUGGCGAGGUUAACCGAAUAGGGGAGCCGAAGGGAAACCGAGUAUUAACUGUGCGCUGAGUCGCUGGGAGCAGACCCGAAACCUGAUGAUCUAACCGUGGGCAGGAUGAAGGUAAGGUAACACUUACUGGAGGUCCCGACCCACUAGUGUUGCAAAACUAGGGGAUGACCUGCGGUUAGGGGUGAAAGGCCAAUCAAAUCAGGUGAUAUCUGGUUCUCCCCGAAAGCUAUUUAGGUAGCGCCUCAAUGGAUAAUUGCCGGGGGUAGAGCACUGUUUCAGAAAGGGGCCCAGCCAAUGGGUUUCCGAUUUGAUGCAAACUCCGAAUACCGGCAAGGAAGAAAUUGGGAGACAGACGGCGGGUGCUAACGUUCGUCGUCGAGAGGAAAACAAUCCAGACCGCCAGCUAAGGUCCCGAAGUCAAUGUUAAGUGGGAAACGAAGUGGGAAGGCAUAGACAGCUAGGAUGUUGGCUUAGAAGCAGCCAUCAUUAAAAGAAAGCGUAAUAGCUCACUAGUCGAGUCGGCCCGCGCGGAAGAUGUAACGGGGCUAAACAUUGCACCGAAGCUGCGGAAUCGCAGAAAUGCGGAUUGGUAGGGGAGCGUUCUGUAAGGUGAAGAAGGCAUACCGGAAGGAGUGCUGGAGCUAUCAGAAGUGCGAAUGCUGACGUGAGUAACGAUAAUGCGGGUGAAAAACCCGCACGCCGGGAGACCAAGGGUUCCUGUCCAACGUUAAUCGGGGCAGGGUGAGUCGGUACCUAAUGAUAAGCUGAAAAGCGAGGCAGAUGGAAAAUCGGUUAAUAUUCCGAUACUGGCAUUAGCUGCGAAGGAGGGACGGAGAAGGCUAGGUGCGCCUGCUGUUGGAUGCAGGUGAAAGGAUGUAGUUCCGGCGCGUACGAAAAAAGGCGAGCUGAAGGAUGAGAUCUGAGAGGAUUGCACUACGGUGCGAGAAGGCAUUGAUGCCAGGCUUCCAGGAAAAGCUUCUAAGCUACAGGCUAAUGCGAGCCGUACCCGAAACCGACACAGGUGGUCGAGUAGAGAAUACCAAGGCGCUUGAGAGAACUCGGGUGAAGGAACUAGGCAAAAUAGUACCGUAACUUAGGGAGAAGGUAUGCUGACGAAAGUGAAGGACUGCGCGUCCGGAGCAAGAGUCAGUCGCAGCGAAGAGGUGGCUGGGACUGUUUAACAAAAACACAGCACACUGCGAACACGGAAGUGGAAGUAUAGUGUGUGACACCUGCCCGGUGCUGGAAGGUUAAAUGAUGAUGUCAUCGCAAGAGAAGCAUCUGAUUGAAGCCCCAGUAAACGGCGGCCGUAACUAUAACGGUCCUAAGGUAGCGAAAUUCCUUGUCGGGCAAGUUCCGACCUGCACGAAUGGUGUAACCAUGGCCACGCUGUCUCCACCCGAGACUCAGUGAAAUCGAAAUUGCUGUGAAGAUGCAGUGUACCCGCGGCUAGACGGAAAGACCCCGUGAACCUUUACUAUAGCUUGACACUGAACAUUGAGUACAUUUGUGUAGGAUAGAUGGGAGACAGAGAAACCUGUACGCCAGUAUGGGCGGAGUCGACGUUGAAAUACCAUUCUGAUGUGCUUGGUGUUCUAACUUCGGAAGGAGGACAGUGUCUGGUGGGUAGUUUGACUGGGGCGGUCUCCUCCCAAAGGGUAACGGAGGAGCACGAAGGUUGGCUAAUCACGGUCGGACAUCGUGAGGAUAGUGCAAUGGCAGAAGCCAGCUUAACUGCGAGACAGACGAGUCGAGCAGAUGCGAAAGCAGGUCAUAGUGAUCCGGUGGUUCUGAAUGGAAGGGCCAUCGCUCAACGGAUAAAAGGUACUCUGGGGAUAACAGGCUGAUACCGCCCAAGAGUUCAUAUCGACGGCGGUGUUUGGCACCUCGAUGUCGGCUCAUCACAUCCUGGGGCUGCAGCAGGUCCCAAGGGUAUGGCUGUUCGCCAUUUAAAGUGGUACGCGAGCUGGGUUCAAAACGUCGUGAGACAGUUUGGUCCCUAUCUGCCGUGGGCGCAGGAAGAUUGAAGGGGAUUGCUCCUAGUACGAGAGGACCGGAGUGAACGAACCGCUGGUGAGAGGAUUGUAAUGCCAAUUGCAUAGUCCGGUAGCUAAGUUCGGGAUCGAUAACCGCUGAAAGCAUCUAAGCGGGAAGCGAGCCCUGAGAUGAGUCUUCCCAGACCUUGAGUCUGUAAGGACCGUCAGAGACGAUGACGUUGAUAGGUGAGGAGUGGAAGCGUUGCGAGGCGUGGAGCGGACUCAUACUAAUGAUCCGAGAGGCUUAACCAU
rnacentral:rRNA from 1 species